rnacentral:tRNA from 1 species
GAGAAAGCACGCAAGAACUGCUAACUCAUGCCCCCAUAUUUGACAAUAUGGCUUUCUCAA